rnacentral:rRNA from 1 species
CAGUAGCCGCGGUAAUACGUAGGGGGCAAGCGUUGUCCGGAAUUAUUGGGCGUAAAGCGCGCGCAGGCGGUCAUUUAAGUCUGGUGUUUAAUCCCGGGGCUCAACCCCGGAUCGCACUGGAAACUGGGUGACUUGAGUGCAGAAGAGGAGAGUGGAAUUCCACGUGUAGCGGUGAAAUGCGUAGAUAUGUGGAGGAACACCAGUGGCGAAGGCGACUCUCUGGGCUGUAACUGACGCUGAGGCGCGAAAGCGUGGGGAGCAAACAGGAUUAGAUACCCGUGUAGUCCCUGUCUCUUAUACA